rnacentral:rRNA from 1 species
AGCGAACGUUUGCGGCGGGCUUAACACAUGCAAGUCGAACGAGAAUCCCUUCGGGGAGGAAAGUGGCGCACGGGUGCGUAACACGUGGAUAACCAACCCAUUGGUUUGGGACAACACCGGGAAACUGGUGCUAAUACCAGAUGUGUCGCAGCUGUCUUCAGGCGGUUGCGAGAAAGGCCCGCAAGGGUCGCCAACGGACGGGUCCGCGUCCCAUCAGCUAGUUGGUGAGGUAAUGGCUCACCAAGGCAAAGACGGGUAGCUGGUCUGAGAGGAUGAUCAGCCACACUGGAACUGAGACACGGUCCAGACUCCUACGGGAGGCAGCAGUGGGGAAUAUUGCGCAAUGGGCGAAAGCCUGACGCAGCCACGCCGCGUGAGCGAUGAAGGUCUUCGGAUCGUAAAGCUCUGUGGGGGGAGAAGAAGAAAGCCGGUGAAGAGCCGGCCCUGACGGUAUCCCCUUAGCAAGCACCGGCUAACUCCGUGCCAGCAGCCGACGG